ACGUCUACGCCGAGCUCCGCUUCACCCUGCUGGCCUGCGACAGCCUCCCCCGGCGGCAGCGACGCGCCCCCCAGCGCGGGGACGGCCCCCCCGACGCCCCCGGGGACACCCCCGGCCCCCGGGACGCUCUGGAAGAUGGUACCGGCAACUGGGAUGCCCUUAGCAACGGCCUUGGCAACGGCCCCGGACACUACGAUGCUCCUAGCAACCACCCUGGCAACCAGGAUGCCCUUAGCAACGGCCUUGGCAACCAACCUGGACACUACGAUGCUCCUAGCAGCCGCCCCGGCAACCAGGAUGCCCUUAGCAACGGCCUUGGCAACGACCCCAGCAACUGGGAUGCCCUUAGUAAUGGCCUUAGCAACAACCCCAGACACUACGAUGCUCCUAGCAACCGCCCCAGCAACAGGGAUGCUCUUAGCAACGGCCUUAGCAACCAUCUCAGCAACCAUGAUACCCUUAGCAACGGUCCUGGCAACCAUAAUGCUCCUAGCAACGGCCUUGGCAACGGCUCUGGUAACCACGAUACCCUUAGCAACGGUCUUGUCACCCUCAAUUCCCUUAGCAACGGCCUUGGCAACCACCUUAGAAACCACGAUGCUCCUAGCAACGGCCUUGGAAACGGCCCUGGCAACCGUGAUACGCUUAGCGAUGGCCCUGGCAACCAUGAUGCUCCUAGCAACGGCCUUGGAAAUCGCCCUGGCAACCAUGAUGCUCCUAGCAACGGCCUUGGAAAUCACCCUGGCAACCAUGAUGCUCUUAGCAAUGGUCUUGGAAACGGCCCUGGCAACCAGGAUACCCUUAGCAACGGCCCUGGCAACCACGAUGCUCUUAGCAACAGUCCUGGCAACCCCAAUUCCCUUAGCAACGGCCUUGGCAACCACCUCAGAAACCACGAUGCUCCUAGCAACGGCCCUGGAAACAGCCCUAGCAACUGUGAUACGCUUAGCAACGGCCCUGGAAACAGCCCUAGCAACCGUGAUACGCUUAGCAACGGCCCUGGCAACGCCGAUACCCUUAGCAACGGCCCUGGCAACCAUGAUGCUCCUAGCAACGGCCUUGGAAAUCACCCUGGCAACCACGAUGCUCCUAGCAACGGCCUUGGAAACGGCCCUGGCAACCCCGAUACCCACGUCGCCGGCCCCCCCCGCCCCCGCCGCAGCCCCUUCCCCCCCCGCCCUUGCAAAGAAACCUUCAACGUCUUCUACCACGAGGCCGACGCCGACACGGCCACCGCCCUGACCCCCCCCUGGAUGGAGAACCCCUACAUCAAGGUGGACACGGUGGCGGCCGAGCACCUCUCGCGCCGGGGGGGGGGUGUCAGCGGGACGGGGGGCCGCCCCUCGGGCCGCGUCAACCGCAAGACCCUCCGCCUGGGCCCCCUCAGCCGGGAGGGGUUUUACUUGGCUUUCCAGGACCUGGGGGCCUGCAUGGCCCUCCUCUCCGUCCGCCUCUACUUCCAGCGCUGCCCCGAGGUCACCGCCCGCCUGGCCCGCUUCCCGGCCACCGUCCCCCGAGAGCUGGU
rnacentral:lncRNA from 1 species